UACGUAGGCAGCGAGCGUUGUUCGGAGUUACUGGGCGUAAAGGGUGCGUAGGCGGUUGUUUAAGUUUGGUGUGAAAUCUCCCGCUCAACUGGGAGGGUGCGCCGAAUACUGAAUGACUAGAGUGCGGGAGAGGAUAGUGGAAUUCCUGGUGUAGCGGUGAAAUGCGUAGAUAUCAGGAGGAACACCGGUGGUGUAGACGGCUAUCUGGACCGUAAC
rnacentral:rRNA from 1 species